UGCUUUCUGAAUUUUUAAAUUGUACAUUUUCCUAUUUAAAAAUUUCUAUUUUUAAAUUAUUCAUUUCAAAACCAUGUUGCACUGAAGUCUUCUGACCCAUCAGAUGACACAGAGUAUACAUAAAAAUUAAAUGCCUAUUCUGUAUAACAAAACUAGGAAGCUAUUUUUUCUGAUUUUAAAGAUGCUAUUUUCUAGAAUAUGAAUAAUGAAAAAACCUAAUUUUGUAGCCAUAACCAUUUUCUGCAUCUAUGAGAACUUAUAAUCAUGAUCAGAGGGCAUUGUAGUAGGUACAUCAAAAUAUAUAUAGCACCUCAAAGAGCUAACAUUUUAAGUAUUAAAAAAAGAUCAGAUAUGGGAGAAAAAUUAAAUGCUAUUCCUGUUCUGCCAUUGAGAGAACUUGAGGAGCAGUGAACAUUAGUGGGUUACUGAGGGGCAGUGGCUGGUAUGUGAAGGAGGAGAACUCCAGAGACUUACCUUACCCAUCAGCUUCUGUGCUACUGUGUCAUGGUGCUAUUGUUUUGACAGUUAUGUGGAGGAGAGUGGCUGCUUGGAACACAGUCAUGUAAGCAGGACUCAGGUUUAAGUGUUAAAUUAGCAUGCCCUAAAUAGUAAAAAUGUAGGAUAUUGGGACCUUAAAUCCAUUCUGUUGUAUCUUCAAGUCUUGGUCGUCUACAUACCACAUGUUGCUGAGAUGCAGAAAAACAAGCCUUGUGUUUCCAAAGGACAUAAAAGUGCAACUCACCUUGAGGAAGUACUUUUCCCUGGAACUAAACCCUCUUGUGUCCUUUUGUCAGCUGAAUCCUAGAGCAUUCAUGAACGACACCAACCAACAUGUAGUUCUCUGACACGGAACCAAACUGUGAAGAGCUACUGCCUUCCAGGAAUUAAGUAGCACCACUGGAAUUGCUUCUGCAAACCCUUUGAGCUGGUGUUUGGAGAUUGCUGACCUACCCUGUGUUACUGUAAAACACUCCUACAUCACUGACACAGAACUCUCACCUCACACCUGGUGGCAGGGGUAGGAGGUUAAAAUCUUUUAUUACAUGAAGAAACUUCUGCACAUAACACAGACCUACUGUGGUCCUGUCUUUCUUCUUACUUUCAAUCUUGCAUGUUGAUGAAAGUAUAAACUAGAGGCAAUUCCUUUGGCAAGGUGACUGAAAAUAAUUUGGAUGAUGGGACUGUAGCCAUCUAAGUUGAACUAUUCAUACAGUCCAAAUAAUUAACUAUAUUUUUUAGCAGUUUUCCAUUAAUAAGAAAUUCUGUUGUAGGAGUCUGUGUAUUUAGGUUUUUAUUCAAGCUGAUGAUGUUUGCUUCAGUAAAAGUGUGGUGUUUGGACCAUAUGCUCAAAUGUUAACAUGUUUAAUGCCAGCAGCAGAAUAUUUACAUUAAAGGACAUGGAGCCAAGUUAAACUCAAUUGCAACUUUAUUCACUGGAUUACAGUGUUACCAGCAAAAAAUAGCUGUGAUAUCUUGCUUUUUUUCCUCUUUCAUUUUUCAAACAGGCUGAGGCAGAUCUGCCCUUUUUGGAAGUUGUGCUCUAAUUACUAUUUUAAGCCCUAGUGCAGCAGGGUAGAGGGGGAAUGCCAAGAGGUAUUCUGCUUGAACCUGAAGCUCUUGAGAAGGAGGGAUAGGAAGAAAUAAAAGCACAGGGACAUACUGAGGCAGAGUUGCCAGAGCCAGAUGGACCAGAAACCCAGUGCACUGCAGAAUGUCUCUCAGAUAUUUGGACAGAUAACCACAGCUAGUGGGCACACAGCCAUAGUUUUCUCCGUAGUGAGUCUUCAAAUAUUAUCUGAUCAGCCUUCAAAAACUUCCCAGUUCUUAAGCAAUGAAGAAUCAUGGAUGCAUCUAGUAAUUGGUGAUAUGGAGAAACCAGACUGGGCCACUGGAGCUUCACAUGAAUCGCUGGAGGUGUCCAGGAGUUGCUGCAGUCAUAAGUUUAGAGGCAUAUUGUGUCCAGGCAAAGGUCAAUGUCUGUUACUCUGACGCAUUUUAAACAUGUGCCAGUUUGCUGUAACACAGAGUCCAGUCUGGAAACAUUCAGUGGGGCAGGACUGUAUGUAGAAUGAGUCUUCCCAUCUUCUUCUUCCUAUUAUCCUGUCAGAGUUUCAUCAUGUUUGUCUCCAUUGAACCAGUCUGCUCUGGUUCCCAGUGGCAGUGUUAUGUGCCAUUAGCUGGUAAACCUUCCACGGUGCCACUGGGGAACGCCCAAUUGCAGGGCUAGUACAGCCAGAAUUAUUCAGGUCGUGCCCUCUCCUCUAACUGUGAAAGCCUGCAAACAUAGUUUCAAGUCUCAGGGCUUUUACCAGCUGUCAGAAUUUGGACAGUCAAUUCAGCUGGCUCAGUGACUGAAAUCAAUCGUUUUUGACUGGCAGUUAUUUAAUUAUCCUACUUGUACACCAUCCAGGGAGGCCUCUGGCCCCUGCUCUUUUGUACUGUAUCUCUAUUUACAGAGUGACAGAAAACAUUUCCUUGCAAACGAGGCUCAUUUUAGAAAUGGACACCAACCUCUUUUGGGUCGUCCCCCAUCAGCUUAAACUUUCUUGGAAUCUUGCUUCUGGCAAACUUACAACCAUUGUAGUACAUGCUCCAGGAGCAACCAAAGGAAAAUGAAGCACCACAAGUUUCAGGGUCCAGCCCUUGACAUGCACAAGUCCGCCUAGAAGAGAAUACAGCUAUUAGCAGCAGACAGGUCACCCUGGAGCAUUCCCACAGUGGGCAUCGGCAUUCUGCCAGCUCUGCAGGGAAUCAGGGCUACAGAUCGUCUUCCAUCAGUAAAAAA